AUUGAACGCUGGCGGCAGGCUUAACACAUGCAAGUCGAACGAGUGGCGGACGGGUGAGUCAUGCUUGGGAAUCUACCUUAUGGAGGGGGAUAACUACGGGAAACAGUAGCUAAUACCGCAUACCAUAGGAUGCGCACCAGUGGGAUUGGGUAGUUGGUGGGGUAAAGGCUCACCAAGGCGACGAUCUCUAGCUUGUCUGAGAGGAUGACCAGCCACACGGGGACUGAUACACGGCCCAGACUCCUACGGGAGGCAGCAGUGGGAAAUAUUGCACAAUGGGGGCAACCUGACCCAGCCAUGCCGCGUGAAUGAAGAAGGCCUUCGGGUUGUAAAGUUCUUUCGGUAGAGAGGCGUUAUCUACAGAAGAAGCACCGGCUAACUCCGUGCCAGCAGCCGCGGUAAUUC
rnacentral:rRNA from 1 species